rnacentral:misc_RNA from 1 species
AAGCUACUGGGGGAGCCGAGGCUCCCCCCCAAAUAGGUGCGUGCUUUGUUUUUAUUAUGAUUACCGGGCUUGUUGUUUUUGUUUGUAGACCCGACCCUCGAAGCUAUCUGCUUCGGGGAACCUUCCACACUUGGAAGGUGCUCAAUAGCAAACGGAUUGCUUUGGUCGCUGAGUGAGCAAUGAUCUUGCGAUCCAACCAGUUUUGCGUGCUGCCUCAAGACAGUU